ACGGAAGGCAGCAGUGGGGAAUAUUGGGCAAUGGGCGAAAGCCUGACCCAGCAACGCCGCGUGAAGGAAGAAGGUCUUCGGAUUGUAAACUUCUUUUAUGUAGGACGAAGAAAGUGACGGUACUACAUGAAUAAGCCACGGCUAACUACGUGCCAGCAGCCGCGGUAAUACGUAGGUGGCAAGCGUUAUCCGGAUUUACUGGGUGUAAAGGGCGCGUAGGCGGGGAAGCAAGUCAGAUGUGAAAUCUAUGGGCUUAACUCAUAAACUGCAUUUGAAACUGUUUCUCUUGAGUGCUGGAGAGGUAGAUGGAAUUCCUAGUGUAGCGGUGAAAUGCGUAGAUAUUAGGAAGAACACCAGUGGCGAAGGCGAUCUACUGGACAGUAACUGACGCUGAGGCGCGAAAGCGUGGGGAGCAAACAGGAUUAGAUACCCUGGUA
rnacentral:rRNA from 1 species